rnacentral:ncRNA from 2 species
ACGGCGAGUGAAGCGGCAACAGCUCAAAUUUGAAAUCUGGCGUCUACGGCGUCCGAGUUGUAAUUUGUAGAGGAUGCUUCUGGGCAGCCACCGGUCUAAGUUCCUUGGAACAGGACGUCAUAGAGGGUGAGAAUCCCGUAUGCGACCGGACAGGCACCCUCCACGUAGCUCCUUCGACGAGUCGAGUUGUUUGGGAAUGCAGCUCUAAAUGGGAGGUAAAUUUCUUCUAAAGCUAAAUACCGGCCAGAGACCGAUAGCGCACAAGUAGAGUGAUCGAAAGAUGAAAAGUACUUUGGAAAGAGAGUUAAAAAGCACGUGAAAUUGUUGAAAGGGAAGGGUUUGCAACCAGACUUGCUCGCGGUGUUCCGCCGGUCUUCUGACCGGUCUAUUCGCCGCGUUGCAGGCCAGCAUCGUCUGGGGCCGCCGGAUAAGACUUUGGGAAUGUAGCUCCCUCGGGAGUGUUAUAGCCCUUUGUGAUGCGGUGAGUCCCGGGCGAGGUCCGCGCUUCGGCUAGGAUGCUGGCGUAAUGGUUGUAAACCGCCCGUCUUGAAACACGGACCAAGGAGUCUAGCAUCUAUGCGAGUGUUCGGGUGUCAAACCCCUACGCGUAAUGAAAGUGAACGGAGGUGGGAACUUUUUGUGCACCAUCGACCGAUCCUGAUGUCUUCGGAUGGAUUUGAGUAAGAGCAUAGCUGUUGGGACCCGAAAGAUGGUGAACUAUGCCUGAAUAGGGUGAAGCCAGAGGAAACUCUGGUGGAGGCUCGCAGCGGUUCUGACGUGCAAAU